rnacentral:rRNA from 1 species
AUUACCUACGGGACGCAGCAGUGGGGAAUAUUGGGCAAUGGGCGCAAGCCUGACCCAGCAACGCCGCGUGAAGGAAGAAGGCUCUCGGGUUGUAAGCUUCUUUUAUCAGGGACGAAGCAAGUGACGGUACCUGAUGAAUAAGCCACGGCUAACUACGUGCCAGCAGCCGCGGUAAUACGUAGGUGGCAAGCGUUAUCCGGAUUUACUGGGUGUAAAGGGCGUGCAGCCGGAGAGACAAGUCAGAUGUGAAAUCCACGGGCUCAACCCGUGAACUGCAUUUGAAACUGUUUCCCUUGAGUGUCGGA